GUCAAAUCACAUUGAAACACCAGUUCUCGUAUGACCACCGAAGUUAAGCAACGUCAGUACCUAGAUGGGUAACCGCUUGGGAAUACCAGGUGCUGUAAG